rnacentral:lncRNA from 1 species
GAUAACGGCGUGCUGCUGCUCACCGAGACUGUGGUCACGAGGCUUAUGAAAGAUCUGGAUAAUUCAGAGAAAAAUGAAAAACUGAAAUUUAGCAUCAUUGUCCGGCUUCCUCCGGUAAUCCUGAAAUUCAUUUCCUCUUAAGCUUUAGUCCGCCUUCUUUCAUUUGUUGCAUGUAAGAAGACAGUUUUUCCUGCUUUGGCUGAAGUCUGUUCACUUUCCAUCCAGCCCUACCCUUCUGUUCCUCACAGGGCCGACCCCGUGUGCUUCUCUGGUGUUGCGCUGACACAGCGUAUGCUGACACAGCGUAUGCUGACACAGUGUAUGCACAGAGUUCAUCCAUUUCAUUCCCUAGGAGACCACACUAUAUUUACGUCAGAGUCUGGGUAGGAGGCAGAAGGGAAACAUGUGCCUCUGACAUUUAAACUGAUAAGGGAUUUCAAUACAGGUGAGGUCAGAAGGUUCUAGAACUGCAUUUCCUCCUCCUAUUGCAUAGCUGAGCAUAGGAAAACAUUUCCAGGUUAAAAGAAGAACAAAAAUCAGGAAAGAAACAGUUAUGAAGCCACUCCUUGCUCUUUUGUGGGGAUAUUAGCUCUUGGAGUCAGAAACAUCAUGAAAACAUCAAAUUCCACAGCAAGGUCUUUCAAACCUCUGACUUUGCAAACUUCCUGACCCAAGAGCCUGGCCAGCCCUGUGUGCUGUUUAUAUACUGUGAGCACCA